rnacentral:rRNA from 1 species
UACAGAGGUCUCAAGCGUUGUUCGGAUUCAUUGGGCGUAAAGGGUGCGUAGGCGGCGCGGUAAGUCGGGUGUGAAAUCUCGGAGCUUAACUCCGAAACUGCAUUCGAUACUGCCGUGCUUGAGGACUGGAGAGGAGACUGGAAUUUACGGUGUAGCGGUGAAAUGCGUAGGAUAUCGUAAGGAAGACCAGUGGCGAAGGC